rnacentral:rRNA from 1 species
AUUGAACGCUGGCGGCGGGCCUAACACAUGCAAGUCGAGCGGAUGAGUGGAGCUUGCUCCAUGAUUCAGCGGCGGACGGGUGAGUAAUGCCUAGGAAUCUGCCUGGUAGUGGGGGACAACGUUUCGAAAGGAACGCUAACACCGCAUACGUCCUACGGGAGAAAGCAGGGGACCUUCGGGCCUUGCGCUAUCAGAUGAGCCUAGGUCGGAUUAGCUAGUAGGUGAGGUAAUGGCUCACCUAGGCGACGAUCCGUAACUGGUCUGAGAGGAUGAUCAGACACACUGGAACUGAGACACGGUCCAGACUCCUACGGGAGGCAGCAGUGGGGAAUAUUGGACAAUGGGCGAAAGCCUGAUCCAGCCAUGCCGCGUGUGUGAAGAAGGUCUUCGGAUUGUAAAGCACUUUAAGUUGGGAGGAAGGGCAGUAAGUUAAUACCUUGCUGCUUUGACGUUACCAACAGAAUAAGCACCGGCUAACUUCGUGCCAGCCGCCGCGGUAACAC